CUGCCGACUUUUCUUUCACUUUCACUUAGAGCAAGAUGGCAGCCCGCGUCCCUGUGUGAAGCCGUCUGCAGCAGCUGCCAGAGCCCUGCUUGCUGUUUCCUUUCUCACCACCCACCUCACCCGGAAAUCCCCUGGUGAUUUCAAGACCUGACCUCUGCACCCUUUUGCUCCCCACCUGUCCCAAAAAAGUGGAGCUAUAACUGUGGGAAAAGGGGAUCUGAAGUCAGACACAGGAUCCACAGUAGCCUGGGGACCUUUCUCACCCCCGCCCUUAAGCAGGCCCCAACAUAACCGGCUGAGAAACCUCCUCUGCCAGAUCCUGACCUGAGCCAGGAGGCGGCCAGGAAACUGGAUUUUGGGACUGGGAUUUCAGAGAGGAAGCUGGAGAGCUGCAGGGUGGUCAUCUGUCACUUUAUUUUGCCCGUCUUGUAGCAUUCUCGAAAAGGCACUCUGUCACGUGUACACAGGAAAGGGCCCUGACAAGAGGAUGGGACUGCAGUUGUGGCUGCCAGAGUCUUGCUUUGUCGCCCAGGUUGGAGUGCAGUGGCACGAUCUCGGCUCAGUGCAACCUCCGCCUCCUGAGUUCAAGUGAUUCUCCUGCCUCAGCCUCCCUAGUAGCUGGGAUUACAGGACAAGGAGAGGGACAAAUUCCUUCUUGGCAUCCUUAUGGCCCUGUGACCUGCUAAUGAAUGCUGACUCUGAGUUGCUACUAGAAUUUGGUUUCCUUGUGGCUUCCCAGGAAUUGGUCUCACUCUGCUCACUCUGUCUCCCAAGCUGGAGUGCAGUGGUACAGUCACGGCUCACUGCAGCCUCCACUUCCUGGACUCAAGUGAUCUUCUCACUUCAGCCUUCUGAGUAGCUGGGACUACAGCCCCCUCUGCAGCUCUUCAUGGGGGUCCACUCAAGUCAGAAGCCACAUUUGGGUGUGAUUCAGAGAGCUGUUUAUGCAAAACCAGCUUUGUCACCAUCAGGCAAGGCACCUGAAUUCCCACCGCAGAGAGUGUUGUGGCCGUGAGGACUUUUCUGUCACCAGCCAUUUCCAGGUAGACCCAGUGUAAUCACAAGCAUCCUUGUAAGUGGCAAAGAGGCAGAGGAGACAGCGCCAGAGAGGCAGCUGCAUGAGAAGGAUCAAGAUGUUGCUGACUUUGAAGUUGGAAGAAGAAGGCCAUGAGCCUCAGUAUGUGGGCGGCUUCUAGAAGCUGGAAGGGGCAAGGAGAUGGAUUUGACCCUUCAGCCUCCAGGGGCAGCUGUACCUGCCAUCACUGAUUGUAGCCUGGUGAGGCCUGUUUUAGACUUCUGACCUGUAGAGCUGUAACAUAAUACAUUUGGGUUGUUUUCAACCACUAAGUUUGUGGUAAUUUGUUGUAGCAGCUGUAGAAAAUGAAUACAUAUGAAUCCUCUGGCAUUUGUUUGAGAUUUGCUCUAUGGCCUAGUAUGUGGUUGUAAAUGUUCCAUCUGUGCCUGAAAAAAUGUAUAUUUCUAAUUCAGUAGUCUCUGCUUUUUUUUUUUAUUUUGUACCCCAUCAAUAAAAUGAUUUUCAGCAUGUAUCCCCAAAUAAACAAUAUUUUAUUUAUUGAUUGAUUGAUAAACAGACAUGUUUAAUGAUAGCUUGCUUUUCACAGAGGUGACUUCGGAGACUUCUAAUCUAUAAUCCAGGAGUAUAUAACCAUG
rnacentral:lncRNA from 1 species